rnacentral:rRNA from 2 species
GCAGUCGAACGAACUUCCGUUAAUUGAUUAUGACGUGCUUGCACUGAAUGAGAUUUUAACACGAAGUGAGUGGCGGACGGGUGAGUAACACGUGGGUAACCUGCCCAGAAGCAGGGGAUAACACCUGGAAACAGAUGCUAAUACCGUAUAACAGAGAAAACCGCCUGGUUUUCUUUUAAAAGAUGGCUCUGCUAUCACUUCUGGAUGGACCCGCGGCGCAUUAGCUAGUUGGUGAGGUAACGGCUCACCAAGGCGAUGAUGCGUAGCCGACCUGAGAGGGUAAUCGGCCACAUUGGGACUGAGACACGGCCCAGACUCCUACGGGAGGCAGCAGUAGGGAAUCUUCCACAAUGGACGCAAGUCUGAUGGAGCAACGCCGCGUGAGUGAAGAAGGGUUUCGGCUCGUAAAGCUCUGUUGUUAAAGAAGAACGUGGGUGAGAGUAACUAUUCACCCAGUGACGGUAUUUAACCAGAAAGCCACGGCUAACUACGUGCCAGCAGCCGCGGUAAUACGUAGGUGGCAAGCGUUAUCCGGAUUUAUUGGGCGUAAAGCGAGCGCAGGCGGUCUUUUAAGUCUAAUGUGAAAGCCUUCGGCUCAACCGAAGAAGUGCAUUGGAAACUGGGAGACUUGAGUGCAGAAGAGGACAGUGGAACUCCAUGUGUAGCGGUGAAAUGCGUAGAUAUAUGGAAGAACACCAGUGGCGAAGGCGGCUGUCUGGUCUGUAACUGACGCUGAGGCUCGAAAGCAUGGGUAGCGAACAGGAUUAGAUACCCUGGUAGUCCAUGCCGUAAACGAUGAUUACUAAGUGUUGGAGGGUUUCCGCCCUUCAGUGCUGCAGCUAACGCAUUAAGUAAUCCGCCUGGGGAGUACGACCGCAAGGUUGAAACUCAAAAGAAUUGACGGGGGCCCGCACAAGCGGUGGAGCAUGUGGUUUAAUUCGAAGCUACGCGAAGAACCUUACCAGGUCUUGACAUCUUCUGCCAACCUAAGAGAUUAGGCGUUCCCUUCGGGGACAGAAUGACAGGUGGUGCAUGGUUGUCGUCAGCUCGUGUCGUGAGAUGUUGGGUUAAGUCCCGCAACGAGCGCAACCCUUAUUACUAGUUGCCAGCAUUCAGUUGGGCACUCUAGUGAGACUGCCGGUGACAAACCGGAGGAAGGUGGGGACGACGUCAAAUCAUCAUGCCCCUUAUGACCUGGGCUACACACGUGCUACAAUGGAUGGUACAACGAGUUGCGAAACCGCGAGGUUUAGCUAAUCUCUUAAAACCAUUCUCAGUUCGGACUGUAGGCUGCAACUCGCCUACACGAAGUCGGAAUCGCUAGUAAUCGCGGAUCAGCAUGCCGCGGUGAAUACGUUCCCGGGCCUUGUACACACCGCCCGUCACACCAUGAGAGUUUGUAACACCCAAAGCCGGUGG